rnacentral:rRNA from 1 species
UACGGAGGUUGCGAGCGUUGUUCGGAAUGACUGGGCGUAAAGGGAGCGCAGGCGGUUUGGCAAGUCUAAAGUGGAAGCCCGGGGCUUAACCUCGGAAGUGCUUUGGAUACUGCCUGACUUGAGUUCGUGAGAGGAAAGCGGAAUUCCAGGUGUAGCGGUGAAAUGCGUAGAUAUCUGGAGGAACACCGGUGGCGAAAGCGGCUUUCUGGCACGAUACUGACGCUGAGGCUCGAAAGCAUGGGGAGCGAACAGGAUUAGAUACCCUGGUAGUCCAUGCUGUAAACGUUGUGCACUAGGUGUGGGAGGUAUCGACCCCUUCCGUGCCGCAGCUAACGCAUUAAGUGCACCGCCUGGGGAGUACGGUCGCAAGACUGAA